rnacentral:rRNA from 1 species
UACGGAGGGUGCAAGCGUUAAUCGGAAUUACUGGGCGUAAAGCGUGCGAAGGCGGUUUGUUAAGUCCGUUGUGAAAGCCCCGAGCUCAACUUGGGAAUUGCAGUGGAUACUGGCAGGCUGGAGUACGGUAGAGGAAGGUGGAAUUCCCGGUGUAGCAGUGAAAUGCGUAGAUAUCGGGAGGAACACCUGUGGCGAAAGCGGCUCACUGGACCAUAACUGACGCUGAUGCACGAAAGCUAGGGGAGCAAACAGG